GUGCUUGCUUUAGCUGCACAUACACUAAAGUAAAACAAUGCAAAGAAGAGUAGCAUGGCCCCAGCAUAAGGAUGACGUGCAAAUUCAUGAAGCAUUCCAUAUUUAA
rnacentral:snRNA from 1 species